rnacentral:rRNA from 1 species
CCUACGGGUGGCAGCAGUGAGGAAUAUUGGUCAAUGGACGGAAGUCUGAACCAGCCAUGCCGCGUGCAGGAAGACGGCUCUAUGAGUUGUAACCUGCUUUUGUACAAGGGUAAACCCGAAUACGUGUAUUCAGCUGACAGUACUUUACGACUAAGGAUCGGCUAACUCCGUGCAAGCAGCCGCGGUAAUACGGAGGAUACAAGCGUUUUCCGGAUUUAUUGGGUUUAAAGGGUGUGUAGGCGGAUUGCGACGUUAGAUGUGAAAUGUCCGGGCUUAACUCGGGAACUGCCUCUAAUACUGUUGAUCGAGAGAGUAGAUGCGGUAGGCGGAAUGUAUGGUGUAGCGGUGAAAUGCUUAGAGAUCAUACAGAACACCGAUUGCGAAGGCAGCUUACCAAUCUAUAUCUGACGUUGAGGCACGAAAGCGUGGGGAGCAAACAGGAUUAGAUACCCGAGUAGUC